AUUUUUACCUCCCAUAUCCAAUGUUUGAAACAAUAUCUGCUGGGUUUUCUGGAUUGUUAUAACUGAAUAUUUGUAACCCAUAUACAUGCAUCACGUUUUUCAUUUUGUGGACUCUUCGUGAGUUGUUGUCCCUUACAAACGGUAUCCAUUUCUCUCUGGAUCCCAACAUCUCAAACAUACCGUGCCAAUAAAAUGAUUAUCUAUAUCUCUG